CCUACGGGUGGCUGCAGUGGGGGAUAUUGCACAAUGGGGGGAACCCUGAUGCAGCGACGCCGCGUGGGUGAAGGAGUGCUUCGGCAUGUAAAGCCCUAUCGGCAGGGAAGAAGCAAGACGGUACCUGACUAAGAAGCCCCGGCUAACUACGUGCCAGCAGCCGCGGUAAUACGUAGGGGGCGAGCGUUAUCCGGAUUCACUGGGUUUAAAGGGUGCGUAGGCGGAAGGUUAAGUCAGCGGUCAAAUGUCGGUGCUCAACACCGGCCUGCCGUUGAAACUGGUCUUCUUGAGUGAGCGAGAAGUAUGCGGAAUGCGUGGUGUAGCGGUGAAAUGCAUAGAUAUCACGCAGAACUCCGAUUGCGAAGGCAGCAUACCGGCGCUCAACUGACGCUGAGGCACGAAAGCGUGGGGAUCGAACAGGAUUAGAUACCCUUGUAGUC
rnacentral:rRNA from 1 species